rnacentral:rRNA from 1 species
UGGGGAAUAUUGCACAAUGGGCGCAAGCCUGAUGCAGCCAUGCCGCGUGUAUGAAGAAGGCCUUCGGGUUGUAAAGUACUUUCAGUCGGGAGGAAGGUGGUAAGGUUAAUAACCUUAUCAAUUGACGUUACCGACAGAAGAAGCACCGGCUAACUCCGUGCCAGCAGCCGCGGUAAUACGGGGGGUCCAAGCGUUAAUCGGAAUUACUGGGCGUAAGGCGCACGCAGGCGGUUGAUUGAGUCAGAUGUGGAAUCCCCGGGCUUAACCCGGGAAUUGCAUCUGAUAAUGGUCAGGUGGAGUCGUGUAGAGGGGGGGAGAAUUCCAAGUGUAGCGGUGAAAUUCGUAGAGAUGUGGAGGAAUACCGGUGGCGAAGGCGGCCCCCUGGACAAAGACUGACGCUCAGGUGCGAAAGCGUGGGGAGCAAACAGG